rnacentral:lncRNA from 10 species
GAAAUUAUCAAACUUACUUUAAUUUGAAACAGUUAAGAUUUUUGUUUAAAUUUAUUUUUUGAACUGGUAAUAAUUUUACAUGUUUCAAAAUUCCAAAAAUAUAAAAUGAUAAAGAGUGAAAAUUAUUCCUCAUCACUGUCCUCCCAAUUCUUCUGGCCAACCAGUAUGCCACUUUUACCCUUUCAGAGAUUAUGUGUGUACAUAUAAACAAAUGUUUCUUAUUUAUUUAUUUAUUUUUGAGAUGGAGUUUCGCUCUUGUUGCCCAAGCUGGAGUGCAAUGGCACAAUAUUGGCUCACUGCAACCUCCACUUCCUGGGUUCAAGCGAUUCUCCUGCCUUAGCCUACGGAGUAGCUGGGAUUAGAAGUGUGCACCACCACACCCAGCUUUUGUAUUUUUAGUAGAGAUGGGGUUUCACCGUGUUGGUCAGGCUGGUCUUGAACUCCGGACCUCAGGUGAUCCACCCGCCUCGGCCUCCCAAAGUGCUGGGAUUACAGGCGUGAGUCACCUUGCCUAGCCUGUUUCUUCUUUACAUAAAUGGAAACAUACUCUACAGUUUGACACCUUGCUUUUAUCUACUUAACUAUCUUAGAGCUCUUUCUCACAUUAGUAUAGUUUGAGGAUCCCUAAUUCAAAAAUCUGAAAUCUGAAACACUUCUGGUCCUGAGCAUUUUGGAUAAGGGAUACUCAACCUGUAUAUAAAGAGUCUUCAUUUUUAAGGCUAUGAUCUCCAUUCCACCAUAAAUGACUUAGCCAGUUCCCCAUGGUGGACAUGGAGGGUUGUUUCCAAAUUCUGACUUUUAAAAUCAAUAGCAUAAUGAAAACCAUGUACAAACAGUCUGCACACAUACAAAUAUAUGUGUAGGAUUUAUUCCCAGCAAGUUUGCUUAGACAAAGGGUUUAUGUAUGUGUAAUUUAGAUAGUGGCUGAUAAACUGCCCUCCACAGAAGUUGUAUCAAUUCACAUUCCCACUGUAAAUGUAUAAGAACCCCUCCAAUGCCCCCUUUGAGAAAACUCAAGGCUGGUAAAAUACUGGGUGGAGAGCACAUUGUUACAAUCCUCCUGAAAGUUAAUUUAAAGAGCUACAUGAAAUUCAUAGAGAAAAUCCUCAAAAUAGAGUAAGCACAUGUUACAAGACAACUAGAAGGGAUUCCAAAUUUCUAAACACAAGAUAACUAUACACAUAUAUAUUCCUCUGUGUGUAUGUAAAAUUUAGUGUACACUAUGUAUGUGUAGACACACGUGUAUAUUUUAAGAAAAAGCUGCAAGGAAAAUUAGUAAAAUCCUAAUGGUAAGGACCAUCUAUGGAUGGCUAAAGUAUGAGGAAUUUUACACAAGUUUUCAUUUUUUUUUUACUUUUAUGCAUUUUCCAAGUUUUGCUACAAAGAACUCGCAUUACUUUUAUGAACAGAAAAAAACAUGUCUUUUCCCUAGUUAACAGUAAUUUCCACGGAGGAGUUUCUUAUCUGUUUCAAAAUAUCUACAAGGAAAUCAGUAGGAAUAUCAUGCUUAGAAAAUGUGAACUGAAAUGAGAAACAGAAAAUAUGCAAAGAUCUGAAACACUUCUGGUCCCAAGCAUUUCGAUAAGGAAUAUUCAAGCUGUAUAUAGAGUCUUCAUUUUUAAUGAAUUUUUAUGAUCACCAUUCCACCAUAAAUGACUUAGCCAGUUCCCCAUGGUGGACAUGGAGGUUCUUUCCAAAUUUUUACUUUUAAAAUCAAUAGCAUAAUGAAAACCAUGUAGCCUGCACACAUAUAAAUAUAUAUGUAGGAUUCAUUCCCAGCAGGUUUGGUGAGACAAAGGGUUUAUGUAUUUGUAAUUUAGUGACUGAUAAACUGCCCUUCAUAGAAGAUGUAUAAGAACCUUCCCACACCCCCUUUGAGAACUCAAGGCUUGUUGAGUUCCAGUUGAUUGCUUCAUCCCAGCUUACCACCCUGUGGGGCUGCUAUAACCUCAGCCAACCCCAUGCCCCCUCAGAGAAGUAUCAACUGUGACCCCUUCAGGACUGGCCAUUUUGGGGGCCAAGGUGGAGGGAAUGAGGCAAUCACAGGCCUGACUUCCAGAGCUGUCUAGAACCAUGCUGUCAUUUUUGGUCCCACUGCUUCAGAGGGGAGGAGCUUUCCUGUCUGGAUUCCCAAGCCUGUGCCCCAAACUGCUGGUGGAGCAGAAAGGAGGAAUGAUCCAGAAUAGGGUUUUGGUACCAGACUGUUUGGUUCACACUCUGGCUGGGCCACUUGGUAGCACAUUACUUCUCCUCUUAGGGCCAUCCUGCACUGUUGGUGGCAGUGGGGAUGAAGUAAGCAAAUCCGAAAUGUUUACAUGGCAAAAUCAACAGGACCUCUAACUCCAUGGAGUGGGGAAGGGGAGAGGUCAAGAAGACUGGUUUUCUGGCUUCCAUGAUGGGAUGGCAAGUGGAAACAGCCUCCAGGAAAGGGAUCAGGGAAGCAGAGACUAGUCUGGGUGGAAAAUGAGUUUUGUUUGGGGUAGGCUGGGUUUGGGGAGCUUUCGGCACACCUCGGGGAGUUGCCCAGUAGCACACAGCAGUUGUUUGGGUCUGAAGCCCAAAUCUCAGAAGCACCAGACUGAUUUGGUGGUGAGCAGCACAAAGCUAGGGAUGUAGAUGACACCUGGGGAGGGCGUGGAGCACAAGGUGGACUCUAGGACCCCAGCAUUUAGGAAGGGUGACGGGAGGUUGAGAAGUCCCUGAAGAGUUAGAAGGAACCCCACAAUGCAAGGAGAUGGAGCUCUGCAAAGAGGUUAGCAGGCUUCACAGUCCUGGGGAUGAAGAGAGACGACACCAGAGGUAGUACCUUGGACAGUGGUUGCAGUGGGUUCUGUGAAGCAGUGGGGGCGGACAGCAGGUCUGAGGUGUGAGCUGCCACCAAGGGAAUAGGGAGCACAAGCGAUUCUCCCAAGAGCUUGAAGGAGAAAAGCAGCAGAUACGGCUAGCUGCCUCCAUCAUCCACCAAGGGAAUAGGGAGCACAAGCAAUUCUCCCAAGAGCUUGAAGAGAAAAGCAGCAGCUACGGCUAGCUGCCUCCAUCAUCCACUUCCCAGGACUUUUCUCUCCCACCUGUCUCCACCACAGAGGUUAGAAAGGUAAAUACGAGGUUUCUAAGCCCCGUUGUUAUUAGGGGUGGCCCCCUGACCCAUCUGUGGCCAGUGAGACUAAGGGGGGCAUGUGCUGCAGGCUUCUGGGAAUGUUUUUCCUUUAAACACCAUCAGCGGUAAGUGUUGGCCUGCCCAUUCCCCCUUCUUUCAGUCUUCACUGUGGAUGCAAUGGCUGGAGCCAUAGGAGUCUCCUCAUGACCACAAUGGAAAGGUUGAGAGAUUGCAGAAAACAUCGACUGUGACACAGCUGAGCCACUGAAAAGACAGCCUUUGAACAAAGCCUCAUCUGUUUAAGCCAUGGUCAGCUGGGUGCUGACAUCAAAUUCUAACUCCACCACUUCCUAGCUUGGGCUGGUUACUUUUGUUCUAGUUACCACUAACUUUUGUCCUGUGCCAAAUUUUGCCUAUCUAUAAAAUGGUACUAACUCACAGAACUAUUAUUGUGGCAGUGUCGGAGGGUGCAGCAUUUAGCUAUGCGAAUGGAGGUUAUCUAAGGAGACAGAAGUGGCGCAGUCCAAGGUAGGAGGCCAGCUCUGCCUUGAUUGGAUAGCUGAGUUGUGACACUCCCAGCAUCCAAAAAGCAAAAACGGACACGGGAAGUUCUUUUAUUUUUUUCGAGAUGGAGUCUAGCUCUGUCACCCAGGCUGGAGUGCAGAGGCACUAUCUCAGCUCACUGCAAGCUCUGCCUCCCAGGUUCACGCCAUUCUCCCGCCUCAGCCUCCCGAGUAGCUGGGACUACAGGCGCCCGCCACCACGCCAGGCUAAUUUUUUGUAUUUUUAGUAGAGACAGGGUUUCACCGUGUUAGCCAGGCUGGUCUCGAUCUCCUGACCUCGUGAUCUGCCCAUCUCGGCCUCCGAAAGUGCUGGGAUUACAGGCGUGAGCCACCGCGCCUGGCCUGACACGGGAAGUUCUGAUGCUAAUGCGUUCCAAUGCUCAACCAUUCCAACAUGGUUAUUCAAAUUGCUGUUUUGGGGCCAGGCGCGGUGGCUCACUCCUGUAACCCCAGCACUUUGGGAGGCCGAGGCAGGUGGAUCACGAGGUCAGGAGAUUGAGACCAUCCUGGCUA